rnacentral:rRNA from 1 species
UACGGGGGGAGCAAGCGUUGUUCGGAUUUACUGGGCGUAAAGGGCGCGUAGGCGGUCAGCACAAGUCAGUUGUGAAAUCUCCGGGCUUAACUCGGAAAGGUCAACUGAUACUGUGCGACUAGAGUGCAGAAGGGGCAACUGGAAUUCUCGGUGUAGCGGUGAAAUGCGCAGAUAUCAGGAGGAACACCUAUUGCGAAGGCAGCUCGCUGGGACGUAACUGACGCUGAGACGCGAAAGCGUGGGGAGCAAACAGG